CCUGUUCAGUCCAUGUUGAAGCAUUGGGAUAGGAUCAGGGAGCGUCAGGGUUUACUGUAUCGAGUGAUUAGGGAUGUGGUAGAUGGGAAUGUUAUCAGCUCCUGUUGCCUUCUAGCCUGAAGAAACCAGUUCUGGAGAGUGUGCACAACUCUAUGGGCCAUCAAGGCAUUGAGCGUACCUUGCACUUGCUGAGAAGCAGAUGCUUUUGGGUGGGUAUGCACAAUGAUGUUGCCCAGUGGAUUAAAGAUUGUCAGCGUUGUGUGUUAACUAAAAUGCCGCAACCAAAGGUCCAUCCACCGAUUAAAUCAUUCUUGGCUUCUAGGCCACUGGAAGUAGUUGCUGUAGACUUCACUGUGCUGGAACCAACCUUAGAUGGACGUGAGAAUGUUCUUGUUGUCACAGAUGUCUUUACAAAAUUCACCCAGGCCUUUCCUACUCGUGACCAAAAGGCAGACACCACAGCUAAGGUAUUGCUUAAGGAAUGGUUUAUGAAGUACGGGGUCCCAGAGCGUUUGCAUUCAGACCAGGGUCGUAACCUCGAAAGCGAAGUUGUAACUGAACUCUGUAAGCUUUAUGGUGUGAAGAAGAGCCGCACCACACCUUAUCAUCCCACUGGUAACGCUCAAUGUGAGCGGUUCAACAGGACGUUGCAUGAUCUGUUACGCACUUUACCACCGGAAAAGAAGCGCCGUUGGCCAGAAUAUCUGCCAGAAUUAGUUUACGCUUACAAUGCAACACCGCAUGCAACGACAGGCUACUCCCCACAUUAUCUAUUGUUUGGUGUUAACCCUCACUUGCCAGUGGAUGCGCUGUUGGGGCGAGAGCAGACAUUUGACAAAAAGCAUGACUGGUUAGCAGUCCAUCAAAAACGUUUAAGUGAUGUGCACGCCAGGGCAAGGGAAUAUUCUGAACAGAAAGCUGCUGAGCGUAUUGAAUUGCAGAAAGACAGAAUUUAUUGUCCAAGAAUUGAAGUAGGUUCACUGGUGUACUUAAGAAACAGGCCAAUAGGUCGCAACAAAAUUCAGGAUGCUUGGGGACCAACAGUCUUUAGAGUAUUAGACAUUCUUGGAAAUACCUAUACGGUAGAGCCUCUGGAGGGAGGGCCAACAAAAAGGGUACACAGAGUUGAUGUAAGGAUGUGCGUAAAUCUUCCUGUGCCGGCACCCAGAAAAAGAUCCAAAGCUCCAAAAGUUAAGUCUGGCCUCUUCGAAGAAGGGGAGUCAGAGGAUUCAGAUGAAGACAUGGUUUUGAUGGAGAUGAGUAAUGGUAACACAGUGCUGGGACUAGGUAUUCAGUCGGUCUGCCCUCAAGGCGUUGAGUCGGUGGCUGAUGCUGACCAUGCCAGUUUAAGUGUGUCUGAUUUUGCUAGGACCUCGGAAACAGAGGAAAUGUCUGACACCACUAGUGAGACAAAGGGUCCUGUGGCUGCACCACGUAGGAGCAAGAGACCAAAUGCAGGUCAGCACUCAAAUAUGUACCAUGAGCCCAGGUCUGUGUUAUACACCGCUACUGUAACCCAAUCAACUAGUUCUACUGUGUUCCAUAAAGCCGGAAAGGAGGUUGAGAGGAACCUGGUCCUGAAGGAGUAAUCGAGGGCGCUUACUUUGGUGCAGGGGAGAAUGUAACCGGGUGGUAGUUUAAGGUGCGUUUAUUUCUUUAUGCUACAGAUUAUGCCUGCCCUGUGAGAAUAAACAUAGGGGCUCUUUAAGAGAUGCUUGGUGACAUCAUCGCGUGUGCGUGUGGCACGGUGCACCUGAGAGUGGAAAUCAGGAAGGGAUAUAGGCCUCACUUGUACUGUUUACUAGGGUGAUGUAUGUCUGCAGUAAUUUCUGCAGAUGCACAAAUUUCGAGGUGUGACGGUUAGCAUAGCGUGAGCUAACGCAUCAGCACGUGCAAGCCAUACAAGUUCUGUUGGUGUGUUCGGCCUAUCGGAGCAUAAAUAGCACUGAAGGCUAAGUUUGGAAAUUGCAGUUGUAGCUGGAGGAGAGAAAAAGACCCUGACCUGAGCCUUGUGGUGACCCUGCAUGGAGCAGAUAUGGAUUCCGUCCAUAUGACUAUCCUUCCAGUUAAGAAACACUGUGAGAUUACAGAUGUUCUGUCUCGGAAUAAAACAGCCGUGUAGCACAUUACUGCUGGGGAGACAGCACAGCUAAAUCACUGAAUGUCCUAGUGGAGCCAGUCGCAAGGCAGAAACAGAGGAGGAAAAAGGCAGUCAGAUCCAGAAAGAGUGCAUUUAAAACUUCCAAUCUUUAAGGAAUAUGAAGCGUCUUGGAGGAUUUGCAAUUCUGUGCCUAUGGAUGGUAGAGGCCUUGGAAAAUUGCCCCGAUUCUUGCAGAUGCUUCCAGAAAAAGAAUCUGGAGGCAACCGAUGUUAACUGUUAUAAACGUGGACUUCGCCAUUUUCCAUUAACGUUUCCUCUGGACUCGUGGAUCUUAAAAAUGGGUGAAAACAUAAUUCAGGAACUUCCAGCAAACAUCUUAAGCUCUCUCCCCAAACUCGAGAGUGUAAACUUGGAACGCAAUUCAAUUAAAUCUAUAAACCCCCAGGCUUUUUCUGGUGCCAGCAAACUGAUGCUUCUGAACCUGAAUGGAAACCGGAUAACCAAUCUCCCCACAAAGGGAUUCAAAGACCUUCUCAACCUCCGUUUUCUCAUGCUGGGCCAAAAUCAGAUUGCCAAUGUCAAAUCUGACAUGUUUAUUGGCAUGAGAAACCUGUCAGAUUUAGACCUGCCCAUGAACUCUCUUAGCAGCCUUCCACCUAAUGCCUUCAGACCCCUGAUCGCUCUCAAAGUAUUGGAUCUUGCCCUAAACCACAUUGAAAAAAUCUCUCCAAAAGCCUUCUCUGGCCUCGAAGAGUUGCUUUUUCUUAAUCUAGAUAACAAUCGGCUAAAGGACAUCCCGGGUGGGAUUUUCAAGACUGUUAGCAACCUGGAGAUGCUGGUGCUGGAUAAUAAUCUUCUCUCCACCCUAAGUUCGUCCAUGUUAGAGGGACUGUCAAACCUCCAGGAGCUCUAUGUGAGAAAAAACAUGAUCACAAUCCUGCCAGCUGAUGUUUUCCGCCAUACCCCCAAACUUGCCCAGGUGGCCCUAAGCGGGAAUCAGCUUCACACAAUUGAUGGGAAUAUGUUGGCCAACAUACAGGGACUAAAGCAUGUCUAUUUGCAUGACAACCCAUGGAAAUGUGACUGCGACAUCAACUCUCUGCUGCAAUACAUCAAUCAAACCCAGGGGAAUCGUGCUCCUCUGGAAAAGCUGUGGUGUGUAAGUCCAGAGGAACAUCGUGGCAAACCUAUGCACAAACUCAAAUCAGAGGGUCUUCUCUGUGACGGCUAGUUAGACUCUGUCUCAUCUGAUAUCAUGACAGUUUAAAUGCAUGAGACUUUAUGUAACUGAAAGGUAAAACUUUAUGUAAAUGACUUUGACAAAACAAUCAUAGGGGAGCUGUUGAUGCAGAUAAUCGCUAUUAUUUCCUUCUCACAUGACUCUGUUAUUUUUAGACCACCUGGAGCAGCAUAUUACUACACCAUAUGCUCACUUGUGGUAGUGCAAUUAUUUUUUAUCUUCUUUACUGAUAUGGAUUUUUUUUUUUGCUGAAGAAGUUAAUGUACUAAUUGUUAAAGAGGUCAGUUUUUUCUUAAAGUCUUAUCUAAUUUUUAUAUAUUGAUAAAUGAAUUGAUAAAAGUUAUUUUUUAUUAAAUAUAUUUUUAAGCCUAAUAAAAUAUUGUUAGAUUACUAACAUUUACAGUAUGUAAUCAUCCUGUUUAUUAGAAAAUUCACAUCAUGGAAAUAUUAAAUCAUGUACAGCAAUUUCACAAUUCUGUCAUCGCUAUGGGUGAACAUAUAAGUAGCACUGAGACUGCAGGUGCUCUUGCAAAAUUGAUGUACACUUUUUUUUUUUACAAGGAAGGGAAGCUUAGAAAAAUAAAGAAUCCCCUGUGCUUGCAAGCAAGCUAAAAACUCCCACCACCACAUGAGAAAGAAUUCCUCAUCAAAUUGUUACAGCAAAAAAAGCCCCAAUUGAAAUCGUCAUCCUACAACCAAAUUCCACCUGGUUGCUGAGGCAGCAGAUUCUGACUGUGUGAUGGGAUUUUGAGUGCUGGGGAACUUCUACAGCUUUAAACUUUUUCUGAAGACACAUCUGUGCUUUUCGCAAUAAAAAUACACCUCACAUGCCUUACAAAACAAAUGAAAUGGUUUCUAUGGAUUAAUGGUAGAAUAAAUAAUUAACAGUAAGUAAUAAAACAAUACCACAACAUUGUUACUGUGUCAACAUUUGGAACACAUGCAGUCAUAACAUACAGAAAAUAUACAAACAGAAAAAAAAGCUGUUUCAAUUCGGGGUUUUUUUGUUUGUUUUGUUAUUGUCAAGGCCCUCAUAUAACAGUUGUGUGGUCUUUACCACCCAAAUAAGGACACAACAGAUUUAAAUUUGUAGAACUUCUGUUUCAAAAAGUAAUCCAACAUUUAAAAAUGAAGGGAAGAAAUAUCUAUACAUCUUUCUACCGACACUAUAUGAUAGUAAUUAGCAUCCAAGUGUUAGGAGUGCAACUAUUUCUAUAAAAUCUAAAGUUUCAGCAGUUUAGUCUUCAAAACCAAGAUGAAAUAACAUCUGCUAUGACCUCAAAUUGCUGC